GGUUUACCCCCUUUGAGUUUGAUUACCCAUAACGUUUUUCGGCGUUGAUGUGUUAUUGAUAUCCAGAUAACCUGGGCAUAGGGUCGAGGUUUCUGGAUCUAGUCGUGUACAUAUAUAUACCAGUUAUCUUUAAUUUUACGGAUGGGCGACUGGAUGCUGAAUACAUGGUGUUUCUUUGUAUUGGAGAAACUAAUUUGGACAAUUCAGUGUAUACAUGUUUGGGGUUUACCCCUUUUAGUUUGAUUACUCAUAACGUUUUCCGGCGUUGAAUAUAACACUGUCCUAAUUUGUGAUAAUAUCUUGGGAUUGGUGUGCUUAUAACAUUCCCAUGUUUCCAUACCUUUUCUUUGUCACAAACUCUUAUUGUUUUAUGUUUAAAUGCUUGAAAAUACGUUAUUUGUAUCUUAAUUUUUGUGUGUGGAAUGCAGGCGUUUUGUAAGUGCCUGGAUAUCAGACUUUUAUCAUCAUAUCAUUCCACUUUUGCUGUGGAUCUCUUAUAGAUGCAACGUAAGCUUUACUAUGCAUAUAUGUAUGACAUGUAACUGUUUUCUUUAUGGUAAUGCGUUGAGCAUCUGUUUUAAAUGUAUAUCAGCAGUUUUAUAACUCAUGCAUCACAUAUGAAUUAUUAUAUUAUACAUUAAUUCGGACACGACUUCGGGUGGGUUAUGGUUCCUGAUCAUUAGGAUAAUCAGAUACCAUUGUGGCGGUUUUGUAUCCCCACCUUGGACCAAAGUUCGAUUCAUAUGGUUGAUUUUAUGAAUAUCAACUUGUAUUGCAAGUUUGUUUCAAUUGUCGUUUAAUAAAUAAACGGCCAAUUUCAAUUCAA